GACGAACGCUGGCGGCGUGCUUAACACAUGCAAGUCGAACGGAAAGGCCCUGCUUGCAGGGUACUCGAGUGGCGAACGGGUGAGUAACACGUGGGUGAUCUGCCCUGCACUUCGGGAUAAGCCUGGGAAACUGGGUCUAAUACCGGAUAGGAGCCAUUUUUAGUGUGAUGGUUGGAAAGUUUUUUCGGUGUAGGAUGAGCUCGCGGCCUAUCAGCUUGUUGGUGGGGUAAUGGCCUACCAAGGCGGCGACGGGUAGCCGGCCUGAGAGGGUGGACGGCCACAGUGGGACUGAGAUACGGCCCAGACUCCUACGGGAGGCAGCAGUGGGGAAUAUUGCACAAUGGGCGCAAGCCUGAUGCAGCGACGCCGCGUGGGGGAUGACGGCCUUCGGGUUGUAAACUCCUUUCGCUAGGGACGAAGCUUUUGUGACGGUACCUAGAUAAGAAGCACCGGCUAACUACGU
rnacentral:rRNA from 1 species